AGUGAACGCUGGCGGUAGGCCUAACACAUGCAAGUCGAACGGCAGCACAGUAAGAGCUUGCUCUUACGGGUGGCGAGUGGCGGACGGGUGAGGAAUACAUCGGACUCUACUUUUUCGUGGGGGAUACGUAGGGAAACUUACGCUAAUACCGCAUACGACCUACGGGUGAAAGCAGGGGAUCUUCGGACCUUGCGCGAUUGAAUGAGCCGAUGUCGGAUUAGCUAGUUGGCGGGGUAAAGGCCCACCAAGGCGACGAUCCGUAGCUGGUCUGAGAGGAUGAUCAGCAACACUGGAACUGAGACACGGUCCAGAGUCAUAAGGGAGGCAGCAGUGGGGAAUAUUGGACAAUGGGCGCAAGCCUGAUCCAGCCAUACCGCGUGGGUGAAGAAGGCCUUCGGGUUGUAAAGCCCUUUUGUUGGGAAAGAAAAGAAGCAGGUUAAGACCCCGAUGUUCUGACGGUACCCAAAGAAUAAGCACCGGCUAACUUCGUG
rnacentral:rRNA from 1 species